UUUAAUUUUGAACGAGUGGCGGACGGGUGAGUAACACGUGGGUAACCUGCCCUUAAGUGGGGGAUAACAUUUGGAAACAGAUGCUAAUACCGCAUAAAUCCAAGAACCGCAUGGUUCUUGGCUGAAAGAUGGCGUAAGCUAUCGCUUUUGGAUGGACCCGCGGCGUAUUAGCUAGUUGGUGAGGUAACGGCUCACCAAGGCAAUGAUACGUAGCCGAACUGAGAGGUUGAUCGGCCACAUUGGGACUGAGACACGGCCCAAACUCCUACGGGAGGCAGCAGUAGGGAAUCUUCCACAAUGGACGCAAGUCUGAUGGAGCAACGCCGCGUGAGUGAAGAAGGCUUUCGGGUCGUAAAACUCUGUUGUUGGAGAAGAAUGGUCGGCAGAGUAACUGUUGUCGGCGUGACGGUAUCCAACCAGAAAGCCACGGCUAACUACGUGCCAGCAGCCGCGGUAAUACGUAGGUGGCAAGCGUUAUCCGGAUUUAUUGGGCGUAAAGCGAGCGCAGGCGGUUUUUUAAGUCUGAUGUGAAAGCCCUCGGCUUAACCGAGGAAGUGCAUCGGAAACUGGGAAACUUGAGUGCAGAAGAGGACAGUGGAACUCCAUGUGUAGCGGUGAAAUGCGUAGAUAUAUGGAAGAACACCAGUGGCGAAGGCGGCUGUCUGGUCUGUAACUGACGCUGAGGCUCGAAAGCAUGGGUAGCGAACAGGAUUAGAUACCCUGGUAGUCCAUGCCGUAAACGAUGAAUGCUAGGUGUUGGAGGGUUUCCGCCCUUCAGUGCCGCAGCUAACGCAUUAAGCAUUCCGCCUGGGGAGUACGACCGCAAGGUUGAAACUCAAAGGAAUUGACGGGGGCCCGCACAAGCGGUGGAGCAUGUGGUUUAAUUCGAAGCAACGCGAAGAACCUUACCAGGUCUUGACAUCUUUUGAUCACCUGAGAGAUCAGGUUUCCCCUUCGGGGGCAAAAUGACAGGUGGUGCAUGGUUGUCGUCAGCUCGUGUCGUGAGAUGUUGGGUUAAGUCCCGCAACGAGCGCAACCCUUAUGACUAGUUGCCAGCAUUUAGUUGGGCACUCUAGUAAGACUGCCGGUGACAAACCGGAGGAAGGUGGGGAUGACGUCAAAUCAUCAUGCCCCUUAUGACCUGGGCUACACACGUGCUACAAUGGAUGGUACAACGAGUUGCGAGACCGCGAGGUCAAGCUAAUCUCUUAAAGCCAUUCUCAGUUCGGACUGUAGGCUGCAACUCGCCUACACGAAGUCGGAAUCGCUAGUAAUCGCGGAUCAGCACGCCGCGGUGAAUACGUUCCCGGGCCUUGUACACACCGCCCGUCACACCAUGAGAGUUUGUAACACCC
rnacentral:rRNA from 1 species